UACGUAGGGUGCGAGCGUUAAUCGGAAUUACUGGGCGUAAAGCGUGCGCAGGCGGUUUCUGAAGUCCGUUGUGAAAGCCCCGGGCUUAACCUGGGAAUGGCAGUGGAAACUAGGAGACUUGAAUCUGGCAGAGGGGGGUGAAAUGCCACGUGUAGCAGUGAAAUGCGUAGAGAUGUGGCGGAACACCGAUGGCGAAGGCAGCCCCCUGGGUCAAGAUUGACGCUCAGGCACGAAAGCGUGGGGAGCAAACAGG
rnacentral:rRNA from 1 species